rnacentral:rRNA from 1 species
GGGUUGUGAGGUUAAGCGACUAAGCGUACACGGUGGAUGCCCUGGCAGUCAGAGGCGAUGAAGGACGUGCUAAUCUGCGAUAAGCGUCGGUAAGGUGAUAUGAACCGUUAUAACCGGCGAUUUCCGAAUGGGGAAACCCAGUGUGAUUCGUCACACUAUCAUUAACUGAAUCCAUAGGUUAAUGAGGCGAACCGGGGGAACUGAAACAUCUAAGUACCCCGAGGAAAAGAAAUCAACCGAGAUUCCCCCAGUAGCGGCGAGCGAACGGGGAGCAGCCCAGAGCCUGAAUCAGUGUGUGUGUUAGUGGAAGCGUCUGGAAAGGCGUGCGAUACAGGGUGACAGCCCCGUACACAAAAAUGCACAUACUGUGAGCUCGAUGAGUAGGGCGGGACACGUGGUAUCCUGUCUGAAUAUGGGGGGACCAUCCUCCAAGGCUAAAUACUCCUGACUGACCGAUAGUGAACCAGUACCGUGAGGGAAAGGCGAAAAGAACCCCGGCGAGGGGAGUGAAAAAGAACCUGAAACCGUGUACGUACAAGCAGUGGGAGCACUGUGUGACUGCGUACCUUUUGUAUAAUGGGUCAGCGACUUAUAUUCUGUAGCAAGGUUAACCGAAUAGGGGAGCCGAAGGGAAACCGAGUCUUAACUGGGCGUUAAGUUGCAGGGUAUAGACCCGAAACCCGGUGAUCUAGCCAUGGGCAGGUUGAAGGUUGGGUAACACUAACUGGAGGACCGAACCGACUAAUGUUGAAAAAUUAGCGGAUGACUUGUGGCUGGGGGUGAAAGGCCAAUCAAACCGGGAGAUAGCUGGUUCUCCCCGAAAGCUAUUUAGGUAGCGCCUCGUGAAUUCAUCUCCGGGGGUAGAGCACUGUUUCGGCAAGGGGGUCAUCCCGACUUACCAACCCGAUGCAAACUGCGAAUACCGGAGAAUGUUAUCACGGGAGACACACGGCGGGUGCUAACGUCCGUCGUGAAGAGGGAAACAACCCAGACCGCCAGCUAAGGUCCCAAAGUCAUGGUUAAGUGGGAAACGAUGUGGGAAGGCCCAGACAGCCAGGAUGUUGGCUUAGAAGCAGCCAUCAUUUAAAGAAAGCGUAAUAGCUCACUGGUCGAGUCGGCCUGCGCGGAAGAUGUAACGGGGCUAAACCAUGCACCGAAGCUGCGGCAGCGACGCU